UUGAGAUUGAAAGCCUGGAAUAAAAAUGAGAGCUUUGAAACGAUCGUGUAUAUUUUUCACAAAAAUAUUCACGCAGAGCAGCAAUCAUGUCACAGCAGUAGUUCACGGAUUUUGCGAGAGAUGGCGCGAUGGCGCACGCAGCUGUAGGGUUCCUAUAAGGGAGUUGGGCAGAUACCGUUGCUCGAUUGUGAUUGGCUCCGCCAUUUUCCUAUUAACUUCCGGUAGUUCCGGCAACACCGGCACAGCUGCACAGCUUGGCAAUCUUGGCAUAGCUAUCAUCGAUGAUCGACGCAAUGGGUGCGUUCAGCCGAUACUCCGCUAGCCUAGCAAUCGUUUUAGCAAUCGUUUGACCCCAUUGGGUCAAAGGAGAGGGAACGAACGAAAACGAGCGACUGCUCACGAUUGCUAGGCUAGCGGAGUAUCGGCUGAACGCACCCAAUAACGUGAUAAGUGCUGUAUAUUAUUCACAUACGAAGAAAACUGUUUAUAUUGAAGAAAAUGCCGCAUUGUGUAGCUUCUGGAUGUUACAAUUCGCACAAAAAAGGCGCAGUAAUGCAUAUCUUUCCGCGAGAUUUGCAACGUAAAGAAAAAUGAAUAGAAAAUGCUGGUGGACCUUCAGGAUUCAAAUACUGUAGAAUUCCAAACAAAAAUUCAUAUUUAUGUGAGUUCUAUUUCACGGUUGACAUGUAUAAGAAGGAACGUGUUGAUGGCCGGAAAACAAUUAAAAUUAUCUGCUGUUCCAACGGUUUUUGGAGAACUUGUCAUUCAACAAAAUAAAAAAAAAAAUGUUGCAGCGUUUAUACUACAUCAGCUACCGAAAUCGUAGUAGCUUCUGAAUUAACAGCUCAGGGGAAUGAAGGAUAUGUUCCCAAUAUCGAAGCUGUUGCAGAAAUUGAGAUAUCUAAUCUGGUUCAGAGAGAGAAAGAAUUUCUCUCCGAUACUAAACCCACUGGUAUUCGAUUAGAUAUUACCAUUCCUUCAGGAAGUUCCUCAUUCUGGCGAACCAGUAAUUUUGAUGGCUAUUAGGUAUUUACAGAAUGUUGCUUACUCACGGUAAGCUGUGUAUGGACAAAGAAAUAUUGGCAACGAAAGUACUACCGUUUCUGUUGCCUCUCUGCAUAGAACAAAAUCUUAGCAUGACACAAUACGAGGCACUUUCCAUGCUAGUCGAUAUGAUAAAUCGAGUAACCAGCGAGCAUCGAGAGGCAUUACGACAAUUGGAUUCGGUGCGCCGUGAGACGCAACAACUCGAUCAGGCACUUUCUCAAGUGACGUCGCCCACUUUUAUGCAAAACAACAGUCUAAGCGACAUUAAUCUAUCGCCUCAAGUUCUAUCCCCGAACGCACAGUAAAUAUUGAAAAUGGAUUAACCAUCGAAGACAAGUACAGAUUAAUUCAACAGCAAGAAACGCAUCAAAGAUUGCAGUCUCAAUCUAUGUUGACUCCUAAAGCUGCGCCACAACCUGUAAAGUCGCAGCUAAAGGAUUUAAUAACUGCGACUUUGUUAAAAAACAAUCUAGACGAAUUAAAUCUGUCUAUGUCAAGAUCGACCAUGUCACAACCGGAUUACUCGGCUACUAAAAAUGCAUAUAAAUAUAACUACAUUGGUCUAACGCAAUCGCAAUUUUUAACAUCUCCAACGCUAAAUUCGCAAACAACAUUGAAUAGGCUAAUGAAUUGGAAUUCCAAUGGAAUGAACGCGCCCAUGAACUGGAACUUGCCACAAUCUACCUUGAUGUGGAACUUUAUUAUUCCCCAGAAUAAUGUAAAUUUUGUACCACAACCAGAAGUUAAACCAAACUUAAACUUUC